UAAUCCAAAACCCUAAUUUCUAUCCAAUGGUUGGUUGACAUCUAUAGCCUUAGCAAACCACAUGUUGAGGAGCAGAAACUUACACAUGGUCUGCUAUAUGGAACACAUGCAUUGGGCCUGGUGGGAUAUAUAUUUCUCUUUUCCCAAUUUUUUUCUCAUUUGUGAAGUUUUUUUCUCUCUCUUCUCUCUUUUCUCUCUCAUACGAUCUCUCUCUCACUCUCUCUCUCUCGUGCUCUCACUCUCUCCUGUUCAUCAACAUGCAAUUCCAUAAAUAGGUUCCUCUCAUCUCAAGCUCUAAGGUAAGUGUAAUUUUGUAUCAAACAUCCAUGGAUUUCCUUUGAAUUCUUGAUGUGUUCAUCAAAUUUUAAGAACUAAAUUAUGAACUUGAUUGCAUGUGUGAGGUUCUGAUGGUGUUCAAGUUUUACAGAGAAGUUAGAGAAGCAAUGAACAUGGGUACAAGAUGCAAGCUUUGGAAUUUUGAUCGGUGAUUUUUGAAGAAGUUUGGGUUAAACCCGUGUUCUAGGACGAGGCUCCACUAAAAAGGAAAUGAGGUCUAGGGACGCGUUUGAAGUUGAGGUACUGAAGCUGUCAAAAUGGUUAAACCCGUGUUCUAGGAUGAGGCUCCACUAAAGAGGAAAUGAGGUCUAGGGACGCGUUUGAAGUUGAGGUACUGAAGCUGUCAAAAUGGUGUUUUGAGGACUACAGGUUUGGGUACUCAAGCGGCACAAAAGGAUGGUUUUAGGCUUGCGAAAUAAUGCCGUACUGUUGUUAAAUCUGUUAUCACCAUGUUCAUAGGACACAUUCUACGCCGUAGUCGACGCCGAUAUUGAGGUUGUGCUUCAGAAAGCAGAGAUUAGACGAGGUUACUCGAAGAGAUUCACAUAGAUUGGCAGUAAAAAAGGACAUUUCCUUAGUUGUUGCAUUGGGCUCUGCUACUCAAAUUGCAAUGUUUGUGGUAAAGGGAAAAGAAUUUCCACGAAAUUGGGAAUUGGAAGAAGUAUGUGAAACCCGUAUUCUGGACAGGGGCUCACUAAAACGACGCGUUUGAAGUUCAGGGUCAGGUGCAGAAUUUUGGGUUUGAGGUUAGCAUCAUGAUCAUCAUCUUGAGCUAUUGGGAAUUCUGUGGAGUAGCUCAUUUCUUAAAGUUUCUGAGUUAAUCUCAUUCAGUCUGCAGUUGAUAUUCAAACACCGGGUGAUCUUAUAACUCUUAUUGUUGCAGCUGCAACAGCUUUGAGAGGAGAAGCAGCUUUGAGAGCGAGAUUUCCAAAAGAAGCAAAGAAGAAUGCAUCAAUAAGUCCCUAUGAUAAGGGAAUAGCAGAAACACAAUUUCCACAUGCUUUUGCUUUUGAGGGUCAGAUGUUUGAAAACCUUUCUCCAUGUGUGGGUGAUUUGUUGCAGAUUACAGAAAAAGGUCUAUAUGAUACCUUAAUAUGUAGAAUCUUAUCAAAAUGAUUUCCAACUCAAGCCAAUGCCAAUCAUGUUAUGCGGUGACUGGAAUGGAAGCAAACGCGGACAUGUUUACAAGUUCCUUAGGUCUCAGGGUUUUGAAUCAUCUUACGAUACUGCACAUCAGUACACUGAUGCAGAUGUCGAUAAGGUCAUUACUUAGCAUUGUCUUUAGGAUUUUUCCUUUGAACAAUUAGCCAAUCACUUAUACUCAUUCUAUAUUAUGUCAUGCAAUUGGCUCAUAAAUCCUGACAAAUAUCGAAAAUUACUAAAAUCAAGUUGGAUUGAAGCAGUGUUUGGCAUGUUCAAGGUAUUCAUAUAACAUUUAGUCUUAGAGUUAUUUUUAAUAUCCCUGUUAGGAUUUUUAAACGUACAAGAUUAGGCCACAUGUGUUUCCUAUACUACUGUCAGCUUCCUCAGCAUAAUCUUGCUACCAAUAGUUGGCAAUGCAGCUGAACAUGCAGGAGCAAUCAUUUUUGCUUUCAAGAACAAGCUGAUCAGAAGAGAGUUUUUUAUUGGUGUCAAAGUUUUUUAGCUGCUUAUUUCUCAAGGAUACAAAAAAUGUUUGUGGUAGGCCUGGUAUUCAAAUGCGGAUAAACUCGUGGCAAGACGGAGUUCUUGGUACUAAUUGUCUGAUUCCUCCUAAAUGGAAUUGGACAUAUCAGUUUCAAGUCAAGGAUCAAAUUGGGAGUUUCUUUUGUAAUUAAUUCUAAUCUGUCUUCUGAUGGUUCAACAUAACAUAGAUGCAUUUGCUAAUGUGUGCACUUUUGAUUUGGUGGUUAAUGUUUAAUUCCAAUUGUUGUUUUGAUAGGAUUGCUCUUUAUGGUAUGGACCUUGAUGCUGAAGAUAGGGGAGCUCGUGGAUUAGGCUGAAGAUGGAAUUUUUGUUGUUUGUGGAGUUGUUGUUGGUGGUGAGGAGUGGUGGUAUCUGUCUUGCAAGUGUCACAAUGUCGUGGUUCCUGAUUUCGGUGCUUACUAUUGCAAUAGUUGUGUGAAGCAUAUAUUCCAAGUUACCCCAAGGUUCAAGGUUUAAAUUGAGGUGAUUGAUGGUGAUUCCACUACUGUGUUCAUUCUCUUUGAUUCAGGCAUGAGUUAUGAGUUAUCUAAUGGAGAAGUCAUGUGCUUUCUUUGUUGCUCAAUCUAAGGGUUUAAAUGACGGAGAGUUUCCCACUGAAUUUGAAUCUAUUGUGUAAAAAGAUGUUGUUUACCAUUGAUAACCAUUUGAGGCAAACAAUUGUGUCUGAUGGAUCCUUUAGGGUAAAGAGGGUUUGCUUGGAUAACAAAAUAAUUGAAACAUUUUGUGCUGACUGUUGAAGGACCAUUUGUCACUCAUGUUAAUGUAUUUCUUGGAACACAAGUAUUUUGGUAUUAUAGUGUUUUCCAUAAUAAUGUUGUUCCAGAUUCCCAGCCCUUUGCUUUUCUGGAAGACAUAAUCUUUACUCCCCUUGCUCAAGCCAAGAAGGUUGUUGAAAAAGAGGCUUCUGUAGCUACUCUUAAGAGGAAUAUGAAUGAAUCCUUUUCAAUGUGGUUGCUCAAGUGGAAGGAAGAAAGCGGCUGAUGAAAGUGGAGAUAGAGAAGGAAUGAUUGAUAAGGGUUGCAAGAGAUGCUUAUUAUCCUAAAUAAUUGGUUCUGCCUGUCUUUAAUUUUAGUGUUGUGUCCAUGUUAUGUUUGGCUCACUGUGUCUUAGUUUUCAUAAGUUAGUUAAAUUGCAAUCAUUUGAAGUCAUGUACCCACUGUUUUGAUUCCUUAUAUGGAGGCUAAUGUCAACGUUGGUUUAUCUUAUCUAUUUUGAAUUAUUGGAAUAAAAUUAGUAGUUUAUACUUUGAA